rnacentral:lncRNA from 1 species
AUGACAGUGUCUCUGGAGUGUGGGAGAGUGUGUUGAGCAGGGAAGGGUCUGGGGGAGUGAGGGCAAGUAAGGUUCCCACCUCAGCUCUGCCACUUACUCUAUGCCUUUGGGCAAGUUCCUGCAUUGGUCUGAACCUCAGUUUCUUGUCUAUGUUGUAGGCUUGCUUUUUUUUUUUUUUUUUUUUUUUUUUAAAAGAUCUAUUUAUUUAUUUGGAGGUGGGGGGGGGGCAGAAGGAGAGACUCUCAAGCAGACUCCACGCUGACCAUACAGCCUGAUGUGGGGCUCAAUCUCACAACCUUGAGACAGUGACCUGAGCUGAAACCAAGAGUUGGAUGCUCCACUGACUAAGCCACUGGGGCAGCCGUAGGCUUGCUUAUUUUGAAGAUGUGAGGAUGUAAAUAAUCUAGGGGAGUAAUUGGUGCAGAUAUAAGUCAGGAAAUGUUGCCUCUCCUCCUCACACCCCUUUGUUCUCCAAAAAGCAAUCUGCUGGUCAGCCUGCCCCCCAAGUGCAGUGCUCACCCCUCGUGGUGAUAGCCGCUGCUGUUACCUGUGAAGGCUGAACCCCCAGUGCUGCGCUGUUGGGCAAGAGGAAGCUCCUGAUGGGAAUCUGGCGCCUGCAGAGGCCUUCAGGAUGCUGGCUGCCUCAACGUGGCUGCGAGUCUUCAGCUCACAAGCUUUUUCAAGUGAUGAGUUUUAAGGCACGGUUUCAAAAUUAUUCCAUCAGAAUAGUUUUGGGUCCACAGAUGAGUGUAAAUCUGGACAUCUCUUCCCCCAGGUCAAUCACAUUGAUUGCUUUUUAACCGUUUUCUGGCUGUGUGCUGCUUCUUUCGGAUGAAGGAAGACGAAGGGAAAAAAAGAUUUGAUUUCAGCGCCUAUGAACCACAGAAGGUUCUGUGAAGAAUGAAGCUGAAGCUAUUGGUAGAAGUUAGGGGGGAAAAAUCUGAGUAUAAGGACAGUAGAAAAAGAUCUGAACUUUUGCAUAGAUCUCACAUGAAUAUGAAGUAGGAAAAGAGCUCUGUUUUCCAAAGCCAACACAGGACGAGGGUGUGUUUUGUGCCGGAGCAGCUGUUCUUAGCAGUGGGCUUCUGCUGAUCAUUCUUUCAAAUGUCACAGUCAGACCCAGGAAAUUCCCUGGGAAGUCCCCCGUAUCACACAGUCUAUGCAGUUUGUCCAUUUGAGUAUGAUUCUGUUGGAUCUUGAGAGACUGGUUGAUCAU